rnacentral:tRNA from 1 species
GCCUGGGUGGCUCAGUCGGUUAAGCGUCUGACUUCAGCUCAGGUCAAGACCUCACGGAUUUGUGGGUUCGAGCCCCGCGUCGGGCU